UACGUAGGGUGCGAGCGUUGUCCGGAAUUACUGGGCGUAAAGAGCUCGUAGGUGGUUUGUCGCGUUGUUCGUGAAAACUCACAACUCAAUUGUGGGCGUGCGGGCGAUACGGGCAGACUGGAGUACUGCAGGGGAGACUGGAAUUCCUGGUGUAGCGGUGGAAUGCGCAGAUAUCAGGAGGAACACCGGUGGCGAAGGCGGGUCUCUGGGCAGUUCCGUGACGCUGAGGCACGAAAGCGUGGGGAGUCAAACAGGA
rnacentral:rRNA from 1 species